rnacentral:rRNA from 1 species
GAUGAACGCUGGCGGCGUGCCUAUACAUGCAAGUCGAGCGAACGGACGAGAAGCUUGCUUCUCUGAUGUUAGCGGCGGACGGGUGAGUAACACGUGGAUAACCUACCUAUAAGACUGGGAUAACUUCGGGAAACCGGAGCUAAUACCGGAUAAUAUUUUGAACCGCAUGGUUCAAAAGUGAAAGACGGUCUUGCUGUCACUUAUAGAUGGAUCCGCGCUGCAUUAGCUAGUUGGUAAGGUAACGGCUUACCAAGGCAACGAUGCAUAGCCGACCUGAGAGGGUGAUCGGCCACACUGGAACUGAGACACGGUCCAGACUCCUACGGGAGGCAGCAGUAGGGAAUCUUCCGCAAUGGGCGAAAGCCUGACGGAGCAACGCCGCGUGAGUGAUGAAGGUCUUCGGAUCGUAAAACUCUGUUAUUAGGGAAGAACAUAUGUGUAAGUAACUGUGCACAUCUUGACGGUACCUAAUCAGAAAGCCACGGCUAACUACGUGCCAGCAGCCGCGGUAAUACGUAGGUGGCAAGCGUUAUCCGGAAUUAUUGGGCGUAAAGCGCGCGUAGGCGGUUUUUUAAGUCUGAUGUGAAAGCCCACGGCUCAACCGUGGAGGGUCAUUGGAAACUGGAAAACUUGAGUGCAGAAGAGGAAAGUGGAAUUCCAUGUGUAGCGGUGAAAUGCGCAGAGAUAUGGAGGAACACCAGUGGCGAAGGCGACUUUCUGGUCUGUAACUGACGCUGAUGUGCGAAAGCGUGGGGAUCAAACAGGAUUAGAUACCCUGGUAGUCCACGCCGUAAACGAUGAGUGCUAAGUGUUAGGGGGUUUCCGCCCCUUAGUGCUGCAGCUAACGCAUUAAGCACUCCGCCUGGGGAGUACGACCGCAAGGUUGAAACUCAAAGGAAUUGACGGGGACCCGCACAAGCGGUGGAGCAUGUGGUUUAAUUCGAAGCAACGCGAAGAACCUUACCAAAUCUUGACAUCCUUUGACAACUCUAGAGAUAGAGCCUUCCCCUUCGGGGGACAAAGUGACAGGUGGUGCAUGGUUGUCGUCAGCUCGUGUCGUGAGAUGUUGGGUUAAGUCCCGCAACGAGCGCAACCCUUAAGCUUAGUUGCCAUCAUUAAGUUGGGCACUCUAAGUUGACUGCCGGUGACAAACCGGAGGAAGGUGGGGAUGACGUCAAAUCAUCAUGCCCCUUAUGAUUUGGGCUACACACGUGCUACAAUGGACAAUACAAAGGGCAGCGAAACCGCGAGGUCAAGCAAAUCCCAUAAAGUUGUUCUCAGUUCGGAUUGUAGUCUGCAACUCGACUACAUGAAGCUGGAAUCGCUAGUAAUCGUAGAUCAGCAUGCUACGGUGAAUACGUUCCCGGGUCU